rnacentral:rRNA from 1 species
AUUGAACGCUGGCGGCAGGCCUAACACAUGCAAGUCGAACGAGUGGCGGACGGGUGAGUAAUGUCUGGGAAACUGCCCGAUGGAGGGGGAUAACUACUGGAAACGGUAGCUAAUACCGCAUACCAUCGGAUGUGCCCAGAUGGGAUUAGCUAGUAGGUGGGGUAACGGCUCACCAAGGCGACGAUCCCUAGCUGGUCUGAGAGGAUGACCAGCCACCCUGGCACUGGACCACGGUCCAGACUCCUACGGGAGUCAGCAGUGGGGAAUGUUGCACAAUGGGCGCAAGCCUGCUGCAGCCAUGCCGCGUGUAUGAAGAUGGCCUUCGGGUUGUAAAGUACUUUCAGCGGGGAGGCGUUACUCGCAGAAGAAGCACCGGCUAACUCCGUGCCAGCAGCCGCGGUAAUUC